GCAAAACAUUACCCUUUAAUUACUUCCCACUAAAGAAAAUUUCUAAUACCUUUAGUAUUUUGUAAAAACUAACAAGCAUCAUAACCCCGCAAGGAGCACAAACACGCGCAUUAUAGAAUAGAUAACAACUUGUCCCUUUUGCAUCAUGGAAAAGCAACAUAAUCCUAUCAUUAUAGCCUCCCGAAAAGCUGUGAGCUACUAAUCUCCGAAACCAAUGUAUCAUAAUUGGCACACUAGUUAUUAGUAGGAGCAACAAGCCUUCCAUACAGCUAUUUAGCUGGCUCUCUUCUAAAGGCAUCAAAGUGCCUUCCUAUAGCUUUCGCAUCCACAAACUAACAACCCUAUAGGAGAAAGACUCUUGAGGAUUAGCUCAAGAGCCCCCUUAAAUUAUAGCUUAACCAAAAACUGAAAGUAGGCCUAAAAACAGCCACCUAAUAACGUUUUAGUAACACAACUCCUACUAACAUAGCAUUAAACCUGCAAUUCAAACCUGAGAAGAGCUUAGUGAACAAUUAUGUCAUUACUGAACCGGCAUUUUAUUAGUAUUUUAACAGCAUUUAAUCUAACCAUUAAAACACAGAAACUUAACCUAUCUUUAUAACACACCCACAUAAAGUGAACUCGGCAAAAAAUUUCCUUGCCUGUUUACCAAAAACACCGUCUUUUGUAAACAAACAUAAAAGAUAAUGCCUGCCCAGUGAAUCUUUUUAAACGGCCGCGUUAGCGUGAGCGUGCUAAGGUAGCGUAAUAAUUAGCCUCUUAAUUGGAGGCCAGUGAAAGGCAACACGAGGAACACCUAUACUUUAUGUGCUAAAAAAACUUUUCUUCUAAGUGAAAAGCCUUAGAUACUAAAAGAAGACGAAAAGACCCCGCGGAACUUUACCUUUUCUCUAGACUUAUUAAACUAUAAUACAUAAAUCCACUAAGGUUUGAUUGGGGCAAUCUCGGAACCGCCUAAACUUCCGACCUAUACUUUAACCGAUCUAAAAUUUGCUUUAGACUAAAAAGAAGUUACCCCGGGGAUAACAGCGUUAUCCAACUUAAGAGUACACAUCGAAAGUUGGGUUUGCGACCUCGAUGUUGGCUUAAGGACAUCCACAUAAGUGCAGCCGCUAUGAAUGGAAAGUCUGUUCGACUAUUAUAACCUUACACGAGCUGAGUUAAAACCGGCGUGAGCUAGGUUGGUUUCUAUCUCUUUUAACGACACCCUUCUUGAUUGUACGAAAGGACCCCAAGAGACGCAAAUUAAUCGCGAAUCCACAUAAACUUCAACACCUUCCACUAAAUUUAAGUCACAUCCAAUU
rnacentral:rRNA from 1 species